rnacentral:rRNA from 1 species
GUGCCAGCCGCCGCGGUAAUACCGGCAGCCCAAGUGAUGGCCGAUCUUAUUGGGCCUAAAGCGUCCGUAGCUGGCUGCGCAAGUCCGUCGGGAAAUCCACUCGCCCAACGAGUGGGCGUCCGGCGGAAACUACAAGGCUUGGGACCGGAAGGCUCGAGGGGUACGUCCGGGGUAGGAGUGAAAUCCCAUAAUCCCGCAUGGACCACCGAUGGCGAAAGCACUUCGAGAAAACGGAUCCGACAGUGAGGGACGAAAGCCAGGGUCUCCAACCGGAUUAGAAACCCCGGUAGUCC